UUUACGUUCUCCAUUUUGACACAAACCUCUCGUGAGGGGCGGGGUUAACAGCGGUUCGCUCUUAUUGGCUUGUGAGAUUUUGAUUGACAGCUCAUUGAACCGGAACCCCGGAACAGAAGGUGGCGGUAGUGCACCAAUAAGCUGGAUCCCAACCGCUGUUAAAAAUAACCAGAAGAAGACGAUCGGACGCUGUUUAUCAGCAGAGCUGCAAGUAGUCUAAACAAACGGUAAUAAGAGUAUAUUCAUUUAAUGAUAAAACACGGAUAUUUGACACGUCAGCAGAGGAAUAACAAUAGUUCAAGAUGAGUAAUCGGGAGGCUCACGGUCAGGAGCAACAACACCAUCCUCCUCGGCCGGACAAUCGAGGCAACCUUACCUGAGACGGCGAAACUCAGGACGAGGCAGCACUUUCUGUCCCACGAGUGAUGCAGGGGUUGACAGGCACCUGCUUCUGUCAGAGAAAAACGCCUUCAAAAUAACUGAUAAUAACUUUGAUCACACAUGCAUGCAUCGAAGGCCAAGCAAAUGAAUUUAAAGAAAGAAUGGAAACAGCAGUGCAAGAUGAUGCUUACUUUUACAGAGUGUCAGUUGAAAUGAACUCAAAUGUCUAGACAAAACGUUUCUCCCAAUAGUAAUGUUUUUUUUUUAUCAUUUAUAGAUGCUGUUUAACAGUUGUUAAUGAUUUUACAUGCAUCUGAAUGGUUUACAGAGUCUUAAAGGGAUAGUUCACAUUCCCAUUAGACGUCCCAUAGUUCCCAUUGACGUCUAAAGUACAAAUUAAAUCGAAGGAGAAAAAUGGAGGACAGUUAAUUUUCUAUGUCAUGUGAUGUUUAAACACACCAACAGAAAGCAGUUUCUAAUCUAAUCAUCCAUAUGCCGAUAUAUAACAUGCAUAACGUCUUGCAUUGCAUUUGUCCUUCAUGUUUAUCUGCGUUGACUCUCAGAUAUGUAAAGCACAGGCUGACAGAUGUAGUGAGAAGGCAUGAUAUAUAAAGAUAAAUUACCAGCACAACGCUAUAAAGUGUUGCCAUGAAUAACCCUGCAGAUGCAUAUGAAUCCGAACACAAUAAGAGGGGAAGCCCAGCAGUCAGAGAUGUGUCUCCAUUGUGAUUACAGGUGGGAAAUAGUUUUAAAGGAAAGGUACAUCUGUGAACCAGCUUUUGUAUCUUGUAAACCUGAAAAUGACUUUUACAAUUUAAAUGGAGCACAGUCUUUGGAUGACAUCAAGUGUCUGUUGGUAUAACUCCUAGACAUUCAAUGGUGAUAUCAAAGGCUUUUGGUCUGACAAAGGACAAUAGAUCUCUGGCACCACGACCACACCAUCAUCCUCUGUGACACUGUCAACAAUUUCCUCUUGAAAAAGUUGCUCCACCAU